GACAGAGGAGGCAAGCGUUGUCCGGAUUAACUGGGCGUAAAGCGUCCGCAGGUGGCACGGUCAGUGGGGUGUGAAAGCCGGUGGCUUAACCGCCGGAGGCCAUCCCAAACUGACCGCGCUGGAGUCGGGCAGGAGGGUGCCGGAAGUUGCCGGUGUAGUGGUGAAAUGCGUAGAUAUCAAGAGGAACACCUGAGGUGAAGACGGGUUGCUGGGCUGAUACUGACGCUGAGGCGCGAAAGCUAGGGUAGCAAACGGG
rnacentral:rRNA from 1 species